rnacentral:rRNA from 1 species
AUGAGGAGGUGUGAUCUGAGACAGUCUCACAACAGCAGGGUUUCUGGAGGAAUGUCAUCCUCUUUACCUAUUCUGCCAAAUUCUCUGAAAGAAACCUUCCAUGGGCCUUACAAUCCACAGCUCACUCCGAUGCAAAGGCAACUGACGAGUGAUCUUGUGCCCUUACAUCAGAGUGCACUUCCGUCUGCUACUUUGCACCCAAGAGCUGGUGCUAUGAGAUCAUCAUAUGCAGCCUCAUUAGGAUACUCACCUAAUCCUCUUGAUUCUGCACCUAACCAUGAGAGGCAGUCUAUGGUUGCUCCUUUUGCUCCUCAGCCAUCAGAUAUCGAAGUAUUUCAGACCUUAUCUAAUAAUAUCCCUGGAGGUCACACUGGGGCAACUUGGUUCCCAGGUUCGGCUGAUGGUUUAUCAGAUUACGGGGAUAACAUCCCUGCUUCUGGUAGUCAGAUCCAGAAUGGCGGUCCUGCUGUGACAUCUGAUGUGGUUGCUAAACAAAAUGAAUGGUGGGCAGAGAUAAUGAAUGAUGAUUGGAGAGAUAUUCUAGAUGCAACAGCGGCUGAUCCCCAGUCAAAGUCCAUGGUUCAGCCUUCCAAUUCGGCUGCGUCACAGCCUGCUGUCAACCAGCCAGCUUCAUCUCAUGGUGGAGAGAUUUGCAAUGUAGCUAGUCCUCCCAAUAGCAACUCUGCAGCCAAACAACGGAUGAGGUGGACUCCAGAACUCCAUGAAUGCUUCGUAGACUCUGUAAAUAAGCUUGGUGGUAGUGAAAAAGCUACUCCCAAGGGUGUCCUGAAGCUUAUGAAAGUUGAUGGUUUGACAAUAUAUCAUGUGAAAAGCCAUCUGCAGAAGUACCGAACAGCUCGCUAUAAGCCAGACCUAAUGGAAGGUACAGCAGAGAAAAGGACUACCACCGAAGAGUUGACUCUAGACCUGAAAUCGAGCAUGGAUCUUACUGAAGCGCUGCGCCUUCAGAUGGAAGUUCAGAAACGUCUUCAUGAACAACUUGAGACCCAGAGAAAGUUGCAGUUGCGAAUUGAAGAACAAGGGAAGUAUCUUCAGAUGAUGUUUGAAAAGCAGUCUAAAUCCAAUACUGAGAAGGUGCAGGAUCUAUCCUCGGGAGCUACAACAACCCUAUCAUCUGAACCGAGCCAUCCUGCAACCAGAAAUAGGGAUAAUGAUGCAGCUGAUGACGUAAAUAGAACAGGAGAGAACCCCGUGAGUGCCGAAAUAGGAGAAACUUUGAUGCAUGCAGGUGGCAACCAGGAGAUGGCAGAAAGCGAGUCUUCUGACCCCCUUGCAAAUACUAAUGAUGGUUCUAAGGCCCCACAAGAGAAGCGCCGAAGGGUGCAUGAUAGUUAA